UUUAACCGAUUACUCUUUCUCUCUCUUUCCAUGAACUCUUCCUUUUCUCUGUUUUCCUUUCUCUUUUCCAUUCUAACCCUAGCGACUUCUUCACUAUGAGCACGGUCAAAUCUACCGCAAAUUUAUUCAAUAUCUCAAGAAUUCGUUCAUUGAAAAUGGAUAUCUGAAUCCAGUUCAGGGUUUAGGAAAAGUGUUGAUUUUGUGAGAGUUUAUGAGUUGAAAAGAAUGAAAUCUACAAGGAUCUCUGGUUAAAGAUUUGUAAUCUAGAAAUUAGAAAGGAGAAGCAUCUCAGUGUUGAUGCAAGAAAAACAAAAGUACUAGGAAAUUAGAAAGGAGCAGCAUCUCAGUUUUUCAUGUGUAGUUUUUUCCAGAUCUUAGUGGAUUGUGGUGCAUAAUGUUUGACAUUGAUGUUGCAGGGCAUUGCGUUUAUGGUUAUGAAGGCAAUGCAGUAGCACAUAACAGGAAAAUCGAGUCAGCUGGUACUAUGAAGUUUAUGGUUAAUAGGAAACUUUCUGCAUUACAAUUAGAACGACUAAGGGAUUCAAGGAAAAUCGAGUCAGCUGGUACUAUGAAGUUUUUCCAACUUUUAACAAGACUGGCAAAUCCCCUGACUUCCCUUUUGAAUGCAACUGCUUCCCCGAGCUUGAGCAUGAAAACAAAGUUGGCAACAUGGUCUUCUGGGAAAAUGAAUGCAUACAAUAUGUUGGCAUGUCAACUUUUUCCUUAAGACAAAUUGUGAAGCAGAUUAGGGUUAAUGAAAGAGUUGUUUGCUCUUAAGGCCGUAAUCAAAUGCAUUGAAGAAGCAAGAAAAGGCCAAGACCGACAAGAAGCAAGAAACUGAAGUAACCUAUGGAUCCUCUCUAAAAUCAAGUGAUCCAACUAGAGAAGGCCAAGACCGACAAGAAGCAAGAAACUGAAGUAACAAAACCUCAUCCAAAUAGGCCUCGUGCUAAUGGUGUCGAAUAUGGUCCUUAUGUCACUAGCGUUACUUCAGACAGAAUCUCCUGUGCUAGAGUUGCUUACAGAUCGAUUUUGCAUUUGAUGUUGCUGAUGGUGUAGAAGGAACAUUUGUUACUAUCAUUUGACGGCGGAAACAGAAAAGUGAGGAAUCCAUAAUACAGGAGAAGUUCAUACUGAAUGUUGUCGAUAAACUAGCGUUCAUUAUCGAAGAAAGCCAGUAUAAAGUUGGUCUGGAAGGUUCUAUUCCAGUUUUAAUUCAGCCUGCAAGCAUUUGUGCUAAUUAUAAGCUUUUUGAUUAUUUCUGGUGUAUAUUUGCUUUUAUAUGAAAGUGUUCCUUGUAGCUUAACUGGUUGGCAAUUUGCUUUUAAUAUGAAAGCGUUCUUUGUUGCAAAAAAUCCUUGAUAAAGUUGAUGGUGUUGUCGACCAUGGUGUCAUUUCGAAAAUCCCGUUAAUUUUCUCUCUCAAAUUUUAUAUGACAAUGACAAAUAUAAAGGUGUAUCUCAUUUAGUUUUGUUCUUAUGUAACACAGAUGCACAGUGGUAGUUGCCUCUCCUAAUGGGUUGAAAGUUUUGGAAAAAAUUGACUACAAAUAUAGUAGGGAUAGACUUCACUAUGUAAGAGGAUAUUUGCACCUCAUAUAGCCGCCUCUUGUCACUGGAAAUACUGUUUUUUCUAUACUCUUUGUUGAUUACCCUGUCGACAAAGUUUCCUGUUAUGUAUCAGAUGAUAGUUCAUCUAUGUUAACUUUUGAAGCCUUAUCAGGGAAAUCAGAGAAAUCGGAAAAAUCUGCGCAGCUAUAUAAAUAAGCUAUUAUUGAUGUUCAGCAGAGAAAUCAAUGUCAAGGUGUAAAGGUAGGUUUGUUAAUUUGUGUUAGCUGGUUAGGAUUGUAGAAUGAGUAAAUUAGUAAGUGGUUGGUUAUGUAUGCUAUUAGGGCCUUAAGAUUUUUCUGCCUUAGUGGUAUGGCUAAUUGUGUUCUUUUUUUUCUUUAAGUCUUAAGAUAUUUUUGCCUUAGUGGUAUAAGUUUCUUUUAUGGUCCAUCUUUUCUAAACUUCAGUGACUGUCAUGGCUUUGGAACCCAUAGCAUCUUAUGAGGCCAUAAAUUUUGUCAUGUAUAUCUGGAUUUCUUCCACAAUAUUUCAUUGUUGUCGAAAACAUUUUUACCUUGAAUCAUCAUUUUGUAUUGCAACCGUAGGUGCUGAAAUCACUGACCAAUAUGAGAAAUCUCAAUUUAGAAAGUUACAAGAAAGGUGCUUCCCUGUUUUUUUUUUACUCACAAUGCUAAUAUAUGCGUGAUUUUUAAAUUUCAUCCUUAAACUACAUGGCUAAUUGGCUAUAAUGUUACAGAUUAAGAUUAAGGAUGCACUGUCAAAGCUACAAGUAUUCAAUGCCACACCUUUAUCGUUUUGUAGUUCAAUGCCUUGAGUAAUAUAAUAUUUAACUUCUUUAUGGUGUAUGGUGCAUUCCAAAAGUAUGUGCAGACCAUUAAUUUGUUUCGCUUGCCAAAGCUACAAGUAUUUAAUGUCAGACCAUUAAUUUGUUUCACUUGAGACUAUAACAUGACACAAAUUUGCUUUGAAACUAUAACAAAUUUAAAUUUAUUAAUGUGCAUACCUUUGGCUCGCCUUGAGAAGCUAAUAUGGAUCGAAGAAGAUCAAAAGGAUAUGAACCAACAGUAGCUGCACACCCAGCUAGGGCGCCACUGACAUAUGAUAGAUAAGGGCUCAAAUUAGUGUGGUUCUAUGCACAAACAAAAAGCAACCCAAGAAUCCCUAUAACUCUAUAAUUAUAUAAGAUAUAGUUCAUUUCCUGUUGCAUAGAUAUAUUUCUAGAGCAAGCUGUGUGCAUGUGCUUAGAUUUUGGCUUGCAACUACAGUGUAUGUGCUUAUAAUUUUAUUUAAAUAAGUUAUAUAUCAAUUAAAAUUGAAAACUAUUAAUCUAAGAAGUUUUCACGGAGCAUUCAGCUUAAUACGUUUUUUUCUUAAUCAACAAAAUAUUAUAAAUAUUUAUAAUUAGCAUAAACUCAUUAUU